rnacentral:rRNA from 1 species
AGUGAACGCUGGCGGUAGGCCUAACACAUGCAAGUCGAACGGCAGCACAGUAAGAGCUUGCUCUUACGGGUGGCGAGUGGCGGACGGGUGAGGAAUACAUCGGAAUCUACUUUUUCGUGGAGGAUAACGUAGGGAAACUUACGCUAAUACCGCAUACGACCUACGGGUGAAAGCAGGGGAUCUUCGGACCUUGCGCGAUUGAAUGAGCCGAUGUCGGAUUAGCUAGUUGGCGGGGUAAAGGCCCACCAAGGCGACGAUCCGUAGCUGGUCGGAGAGGAUGAUCAGCCACACUGGAACUGAGACACGGUCCAGACUCCUACGGGAGGCAGCAGUGGGGAAUAUUGGACAAUGGGCGCAAGCCUGAUCCAGCCAUACCGCGUGGGUGAAGAAGGCCUUCGGGUUGUAAAGCCCUUUUGUUGGGAAAGAAAAGCAGCAGGUUAAUACCCCGCUGUUCUGACGGUACCCAAAGAAUAAGCACCGGCUAACUUCGUG